UACGUAGGUGGCAAGCGUUGUCCGGAUUUAUUGGGUUUAAAGGGUGCGUAGGCGGUUCUAUAAGUCAGUGGUGAAAUACGGCAGCUCAACUGUCGAGGUGCCAUUGAUACUGCAGAACUUGAGUACAGACGAGGUAGGCGGAAUUGACGGUGUAGCGGUAAAAUGCUUAGAUAUCGUCAAGAACACCGAUAGCGAAGGCAGCUUACUAGACUGUAACUGACGCUGAGGCACGAAAGUGUGGGGAUCAAACAGG
rnacentral:rRNA from 1 species